UCCCUGCUCCACCACACCUGAAUCCAAUGAAAGACUCAUUAGCAGACUUUUAAUGAGCCUUUCAUUGAAUUCACGUGUGUUGGAGCAGGGAGAGAAUUAAGAGUGUCAGGAAUGUGGCUCUCCAGGACCGAACCUGGCCACCCUGUGCUAGAAUAAAACAUCAGAUCAGACUAAGAACCACAAACUUCAUCCCCGGACGUGAAUCUGAUCACCGACUCCUCAUCAUGAAGAUGGUUCUGACUCUGACACUCAUCUGGACCGUCUCCAGCACCGCUGAAGCACUUCAGUGUUCUGGUGUGGAGGUUCAAGUUCGAGUUCAUGUACAAACUCAUCCCUUCACACAUGUACUAAUGGAGAGCUGAUGUGUGUGACGGCGUCUGUAUCGGAUGAAUCCACCACAUGGCCAAAAUAUCAACAUGGACGUCCUGCUGAAUAUCUCUUGGUGUCUGGUCGUAUUGCACAAUCUGGAACCACCACCAGACUCCCCCUGAUAUUUUAUUCUGGCAAACAUUUGGUUCAAGAUGAAGCA